UAGAGGGGCUUAAUAGUAUGAUUCAAGCCGCUAAAGCUCGGGCUCGAGGUUACCGAACAACUAACAAUCUUAUCGC
rnacentral:tRNA from 1 species